AUUGAACGCUGGCGGCAGGCCUAACACAUGCAAGUCGAACGAGUGGCGGACGGGUGAGUAAUGUCUGGGAAACUGCCUGAUGGAGGGGGAUAACUACUGGAAACGGUAGCUAAUACCGCAUACCAUCAGAUGUGCCCAGAUGGGAUUAGCUAGUUGGUGGGGUAACGGCUCACCAAGGCGACGAUCCCUAGCUGGUCUGAGAGGAUGAAAAGCCACACUGGAACUGAGCAACGGACCAGACUCCUACGGGAUGCUGCAGUAGGGAAUAUUGGAUAAGGGGUGCAAGCCUGAUGCAGCCAUGCCGCGUGUAUGAAAGAGGCCUUCGGGUUGUAAUGUACUUUCAGCGGAGAGGCGUUACCCGCAGAAGAAGCACCGGCUAACUCCGUGCCAGCAGCCGCGGUAAUUC
rnacentral:rRNA from 1 species